UUGCCUUCAGGUGCACUAAGAUAGGGAAUCUAGAAGCAGACAUGGAGGACAUGCCUGCAACUCCAGAAAGAUGUAUGAAAACAGAAACACAACUCUCUUUGUCAGAUAACCACAACAAAAGAGAAAAAGAGGCAGUCCAAGCCUCUGAUAAACUCUCUGAGACUGAAUUGUGAAAAACUCUUAGUCUGCUAACAGAGUGUGGCUCUGACUAAACCUGGCCAGCCACCUCUCUCCGUUUGACUCAAAAUAAACCUCUCUGUUGACUGUCAAGCCAUCCUUCAGGUUUCUCUCCUCUUUUUUAAUUCUUACAUUUGAUGCUGAAAACUGGGACUGGUGUUGGGAGCACAAGCUCCCUUGCAUCCCAGGAAGCUGUGGGCCAUGGCAGUUUAUCCUAAGUUAACUCCUAGAUCCUGAGAGUCUCUGGCCACCUGCCCUAUCUCUUUUCUCUCAUUUUACCCAUCAAGAGAGUGUUGUGAGAAGGACAACAGACCUGAAGGGAACUGGAAGGCUCAGGUGAGGGCUCUAAAACCCUCAAGUUUCAGGAAUCCACCUCUGACCACCAGCAUUAGGUAUUUCACUUCCUACCACUGGCUCCCUCUUCUCUCUCUCUCACUCUCUCUCUCUCUCUGUCAAUCUCUAUCUCUCUCAUUCUCUUGCUCUCUCUUCCUCAUGUAGCUCCAUUCUGGCAGUCCCUCCGCCAAUUCCAACUGGAAUAUCCAACAUACAACAUUAAUUCAGCCAUCUGGUAAGAUCUACCUUUUCCUGGCUUUCUCCUGGAACUGGAGAAAGUCUGGCCUGCUGUCUAAGGACCAAUGGGACUAAGCUAGAGGAAAUGCUGGGGAUGAACAGGGCUUUCUCAGCAUAACUGUCUUCUUUCAUAAAGAGGAUUCCAAAUUUCUGUCUAUUGUCUGGGGACAUCUAGAACAAAACAGACAUUUUUCAAAAUAUCUUUAUAGCAAAUCCAGCUUCCCGGAAGUGCUAAUUGUUAAGUAUGUGAAUUUGUAAAUAUAUCAUUCACUUGUACCCAUGAGAAAGGUUUAGUGUUACUGCCAUUUACAGAAGAAGCAAACAAAGAAACAAACAAAAACUUAACACAUUUUGCAUUGAAGUUAAAAUGGCUAAAAGUUACAUUAUACCAUGUAAGUGAAAGUGCUAAACAUAAAUUUUCAUGCAAGGUAUAUAAAAACAGUAAAAAGUUAAAAAUUGUAAGAAGACAUAAAAAUGUACAUUUUAAUACAAACUAAAAAUUUGUUUGUGCAGAUACUGACCUACCUUGAAGAGUUUUUUGUUUGUUUGUUUGUUUCCAUGCCCCAGUGGCACCUGAAAUGUCAGAAAGGCAGCACCGUUCACUCCCUUAAAAGGGGGUGAAGCCAGGGAGCCAAGCAGUCUAGCUCAGUGGACGUCACCCCCAUGGAGCCCAGCAAGCUAAAAUCCACUACCUUGAAAUUAUCGCUGCCAGCCAGUAGUCUGAAGCUAACCUGGGAUGCUUGAGAUUGGUGGGGACAGGGGUGUCCACCAAUACUAAGGCUUGAGUAGGUGACUUUCCCUUCACAGUAUAAAUAAAGUCACUAGGAAUUCACCACAGCUCAUCAAAGCUGCUGUAGCCAGACUGCCUCCCUAGAUUCCUCCUCCCUUGUCAGGGCAUCUCUGAAGGAAUGGCAGCAGCCCCAGUUAGGGGAUUAUAGAUAAAACUCCCGUCUCCCUGAAUCAGAGCACCUUUGGCAAAGGGCGGCUGUAGGCACAGAUUCAGCAGACUUAAACCUUCCUGCCUGCGGUUCUGAAGAGAGCUGAAGAUCUCCAACAGACUGCUUCAUCAAGUGGGUCCGUGAAUCCCAUGCCUCUUGACUGGGAGACUCCUCUCCCCAGGGACUGACAGACACCUCAUACAGGAGUGCCCUGGCUGGCACCUGGUGGGUGCCUCUGGGGGAUGAAGCUUUCAGAGGAAACAACAGGGAGCAAUCUUUGCUUUUCUGCAUCCUCUGAUAGUGAUACUCAGGCAAAAACUGUCAGAAGUGGACCCCCAACAAAGUCCAGCACACCUGCAACAAAGGGGCCUGACUGAUAGAAAGAAAACUAAUAACAGAAAGGCAUAGUAGCAUAGUAUCAACACCUACUAAAAGGAUUUCCAAAAACAAAAACAAAAA
ensembl:lncRNA